GGGCCGGUAGCUCAGUUGAACGAGAGCGCCUGUCUCCGAAGCAGGAGAGCGCAGGUUUGAGUCCUGCCCGGCUCACCA
rnacentral:tRNA from 1 species